UUGCAGAUAUGGAGACAUGGUGCCUAAGACGAUCGCAGGGAAGAUAUUUGGCUCUAUCUGCUCGCUGAGUGGUGUCCUGGUCAUUGCUCUGCCAGUCCCUGUGAUAGUCUCUAAC
rfam:Cricetulus griseus cell line CHO-K1, whole genome shotgun sequence.